UACGUAGGGUGCAAGCGUUGUCCGGAAUUAUUGGGCGUAAAGAGCUCGUAGGCGGUCUGUCGCGUCGGCUGUGAAAACCCGGAGCUCAACUCCGGGCCUGCAGUCGAUACGGGCAGACUGGAGUUCGGCAGGGGAGACUGGAAUUCCUGGUGUAGCGGUGAAAUGCGCAGAUAUCAGGAGGAACACCGGUGGCGAAGGCGGUUCUCUGGGCAUGAUCUGACGCUGAGGAGCGAAAGUGUGGGGAGCGAACAGG
rnacentral:rRNA from 1 species